CAGCAGCCGCGGGAAAACGUAAGGUGCGAGCGUUAAUCGGAAUUACUGGGCGUAAAGCGUGCGCAGGCGGUUGUGUAAGACAGGUGUGAAAUCCCCGGGCUUAACCUGGGAACUGCGCUUGUGACUGCACAGCUAGAGUAUGGCAGAGGGGGGUGGAAUUCCACGUGUAGCAGUGAAAUGCGUAGAGAUGUGGAGGAACACCGAUGGCGAAGGCAGCCCCCUGGGCCAAUACUGACGCUCAUGCACGAAAGCGUGGGGAGCAAACAGGAUUAGAGACCCGUGUAGUCCCUGUCUCUUAUAC
rnacentral:rRNA from 1 species